GUCUCUCCGUAGCUCAGUGGUUGAAGCAUCCGAUCGGUGUACGGAAGGUCAUGGGUUUGAAUCUCGUCGGGGACU